UGCUGGUCCUGGAACUAAAUACCUUUAAAAAGUCUCAGUAAACACUGAGCAUAGAACUGUGCAUUUGGAAGUUCCUACAUGGAGUUCUUUUAAUAUUGAGGUUGAAAACUUACAAAGUAAAUGUAGAAUAUAUAGACUAAUUUUAACUUGGUCUCAGUCCACAGGUAGCCGUUUUCUUGUUGCGAGCUCACCGUAGAGAGAAGGUGAGAAAGCAGCUCUUAGGAGGGACGACCGUGCCACACUCCCCCCUCCGCUGCUCCUGUUGGAAUUUCGAGCGUGCAUGCACACACAUCCAGCAUGUUUUUCACGCUGCGAGGUCCAGUACUCAAACCACGGAGCCAGCUGCCCUUCUGAAUAACCAGAGGUGGAGAGUCAGGGUACAGGCGGGAGGGAGAGCAAGUUGCAGGAAAUGGGUCCUCUGGCCAGUGGCUUUGGUAGGGUGUACAUCCUACCUUGCGUCUUGCCAGCUUCCAGACAGCUGCUGGCCUUUUCAGCGUCCCCUGGCACUAGCCCCGUUCCCCCGUGCCUCGGCUCCUAUCACUGGCACUUGUGUCCUCACAAUCCGUGGGAUUCGGCCACCUUAACUCACCCUCCUUGAUACUGUUAACUUUCAAGGAAAAAAAGUAGCAGUGCUUACCAGCAGAGGGCAGUAGUUCCCUUCUGGUUGAGAAGUGCUCGCUCUGGACCUGAGUGCGCCUGCUCCGUGGAAGGCGGUGCAGCUCAGCUGUUCCCUGCUUUCCAGACGGGAUGGAGAUAGACACCAGCCGCACGGUGCUGGGCAGUUCGAGGACGCAGACGUUGAUCACUGAGACUGGUGAUGUGCUCUGAGAGUCUGCUCCUAACGGGAGGAGAGAACGUGUCUCUUCCACUCUGGAGUGCGGUCGAGGAAAGUCUGUACGUCUUCAGCUUGACCUGAACCAACUCUUUCUUAAGACAGACUAUACUGAGACAGCACGUUGUCACCAGCAGAAGAAACCAUGACCUUUAUUAACAAAGGACACGUCUUUGUCGUGGGUGGCCGCCCUGUGCAUCGUGGGAUAUUUAGGGCAUCCCUGGCCUCUACCCACUUGGUGCCAGUAGCACCUUCCCUCCCCACAACUGUGACAACCAAAAAACGUCUCCAGGCAUUGACCAAAUGACCGCUGGCAGGAGGUAAAAUCAUUCCACCGGGAACAACUGUCCUAGAGAAAUAUCCUGGUUCUCACGUACAAGAAGACAAAUCGGAGAUGAUUUAUAGUAGAACUGGGGAAAACCUAAAUGUGCAUUCUCAGAAAAAUAGCUAAAUCAACAAGUUUGCUGUUCCUCAAGAAUAGCUGCAGUAUUCUGAAAUGAGAGAAAUCUCUUUAUUCUCAAGACCUUCAAGAUAGAUCCUUGAACAACUACCACCAAAAGAAGCAAACUACGGAAAGUAAGAUACACUUCCUAUGUCAAUAUGACAUGCACGUAUAUGUAAUAUACAGUUUCUGUAGGGUCUUAUCCACACACUCAAUGCACAUACAGAGUUCGGGAGGCCAGUGCACCACACCUGAGGACUAACUGGGGGGAAGGCAGGCAGGGAGGGGAGGCGAGGGAUGGGAGCUAGCCGUCAGAAGGCACUUGAGUGUUUGGUUUUUUACAAAGAACAUACUCAUGUACUGUGUAAUUAAACAUGCAUGAUCUAAAUAGAAUCAUCAGCACAGAACUAUCAGAAAAUGGCUUUGAAAAACAAGUUCUUUUUUAUUGACAUUCUAAGGGGAGAUGGCAUAUAGCACGUGUCGAAGAGGUAUCCACAGUGAGAGCCAGCUGGCUGACCACCAGGCCUUAGAGGACAGUGUGACUUUGGCAAAAUCACCACAGCCCAAGACUAGGCCCCUAGAUCUGGUCAUUCUAGGCAUGAAUGUUUCUCUCUAUUCUCAAAGGGAACCCCUUUCUCUGUGACAGAAGAAUAUAGUAUUGGGUUGUCAGAAAAGUCACGACACACUUUGCAUAGAA